rnacentral:rRNA from 1 species
UACGUAGGGUCCGAGCGUUGUCCGGAAUCAUUGGGCGUAAAGCGCGUGUAGGCGGCUUUGCAAGUCGGAUGUGAAAGCCCUCGGCUCAACCGAGGAAGUGCGUUCGAAACUGCAGAGCUUGAGUGCCGGAGAGGGUGGCGGAAUUCCCCAAGUAGAGGUGAAAUUCGUAGAUAUGGGGAGGAACACCGGUGGCGAAGGCGGCCACCUGGACGGUCACUGACGCUGAGACGCGAAAGCGUGGGUAGCAAACAGG